rnacentral:rRNA from 1 species
CUCUCGGCAACGGAUAUCUCGGCUCUCGCAUCGAUGAAGAACGUAGCGAAAUGCGAUACUUGGUGUGAAUUGCAGAAUCCCGUGAACCAUCGAGUCUUUGAACGCAAGUUGCGCCCGAAGCCUUCUGGCUGAGGGCACGCCUGCCUGGGCGUCACGCAUCGC